CCGGGCAUCUGCUCCUCUUUAAGUCAUUUCCUAUUCCCAAAUCCCCCGUUCCUCUUCCAAUCUCCCCACAUUGCUUCAAUGGAAGAAAUCGAUAGAAUAAGCACUCUACCGGACUCAGUGUUACGCAACAUACUAUCCUUCCUUCCAACCAAAACAUGCGUGAAUACAAUGAGUCUCGUCUCUCGCAGAUGGCGCUACCUCUGGGAGCAUCUUCAAGUCUUCGAUUUCUACCUCAAAUACAACCAGGUACCAUCGACAAUGGCAAAGAGUUCAAGAAGUUUGCAUUUUUUGUGAACUCCGUGCUUUCUAUCCGUAGGUCACCCGACAUUCGAAAGAUGAGCCUCUCUUGCGGUCAGCGCCAACUCGAUGAUUUCUUCUCCAACUGCCUUGACUCGUGGAUACGCACCGCCGCUGGACCCCACCUCCAGGAACUUCAUCUUGCUCUCUUUUGCAUGGACAAAUAUUAUGACUCCGUAGUUCUCUCCAGCUUAAUUAGUUGCCCUAACCUCUCCUCCCUCAGGCAAGCCAAUCAUUCUUUAUUAUUUUUUCUUUUCUUUUCAAAUUGCUAAUGUAGAUGGUUGAAUAUGAUGUUAUGUACUUAUGUAUCUCAGUCUCUGUGGUGAUAUUGAGUUGCUAUCGCCAACUUCGGGGAUUUGCUUACCAUCAUUGAAGAAGUUACAACUAGACAUUCGUAAUGUCAAAGUGAAUUUAUUGGAUGUUCUACUCUCUGGGUGCCCCAACCUUGAGAUGCUUGAACUUUCAAUUGCUCCUAUGUAUUUGGCCGAUCUUCAUGUGCCAUCUUCCUUAAAGAGGUUGAUAUUCACCGUUGAGGGUGAUGCUGGGGUUUGCCUUGAAAUAGACACGCCGAGACUUCGCUACCUCAGCCUCACCCGUGUCACAUUAGGAGAAGGAAUUGGCAACUUGGGUAAAGUAGAUGAAGCAUUUCUUGAUGUAUUUUAAAAUCCUAAAAAUAAUUCUGUUGAUCCUUUACUCAAUCUUCUUCGAGCGCUCUCUGGAAUUAAAAGUCUAGUGCUGUGUUUAUCGACAACUAAGUGGCUAUUUUCUGUCCCUCCUGAAAUUCUCCCGGAAUUUCACUUUCUGCUUCGACUAGAGGUCAUUCUACCCUCUUUUAGCUUCGGUUUUCUAAUGAACUUGCUUCAGAGUUGUUCUAUGCUUCAAGCUCUCAUAGUUCAGAAGGACAAGCGUCCGCAAUUUCCACAUUUAUAUGGAUUUGAGGAGGAUCCUAAAAGUGUUCCUAAUUGUCUUGUGUCCCACUUGAUCUUUAUUCACUUAAAGGGAUAUUCGAGUGACAUGAGAUUUGCUAGCUAUGCUUUACGAAAUGGACUUGUUUUGAAGAUGAUGCUUAUUUCGGAUUUAUUAUUAAACCAAAAGGAUAAGUGGGAGAAGUAUCUAAUUCUGAAAGAAUUUUCAGAUAUACCAAAGGGCUCUGCCAACUGCCAACUUAAAUUUGAUUGAGUUCCAUCUCCUCUCCUUAAGUGAGCUUUCCGAUGACAAAGCUGGUUUUGCUAAAAAGGUGACAUUGGAAGUAUAACAUAUAAGUAUAACUAAUCUCUCUGAGAGUGGCAUUGGCUUUGUUGCUAUGUUUUUCUGUUGGUAGACUGAUAUCAGAACAUGGUAUUUUGUACAAGCUAAUUUGCAGAAGUCUAGCAGUAGCACAUGAUCUUUCUUGAUAUGAUGUAGAGUAUAACUCCUAAUGCAGAUUUAUUGAUUGUAUUUUCUU